rnacentral:rRNA from 1 species
GACGAACGCUGGCGGCGUGCUUAACACAUGCAAGUCGAACGAUGAAGCCCAGCUUGCUGGGUGGAUUAGUGGCGAACGGGUGAGUAACACGUGGGCAACCUGCCCCAAACUCUGGGAUAACUCCUCGAAAGAGGUGCUAAUACCGGAUACGAACUAGGUAGACAUCUGCACUAGUUGGAAAGUUUUUCGGUUUGGGAUGGGCCCGCGGCCUAUCAGCUUGUUGGUGAGGUAACGGCUCACCAAGGCUACGACGGGUAACCGGCCUGAGAGGGCGCCCGAGAACACUGGGGCGGGGACGCGGCCCAGACUCCUACGGGGGGCAGCAGUGGGGAAUAGGGGGCAAGGGGCGAAAGCCUGACGCAGCGACGCCGCGUGGGGGAGGAAGGUCUUCGGAUCGUAAACCUCUUUCAGUAGGGACGAAGCGAAAGUGACGGUACCUAAAGAAGAAGCACCGGCUAACAACGUGCCAGCCGCCGCGGUAA